rnacentral:tRNA from 1 species
GGGGUAUUAGCUCAGCUGGUUAGAGCGCCGGCCUGUCACGUCGGAGGUCGCGGGUUCGAGUCCCGCAUAUCCC